GAUUGAUUCCUUAACUCACCUCAUUUCCCAUAAGAAUAUUUGAUAAUCAUCAAUUCUAAAGUCAAUCCUAGAUAGAGAUUCUGAGCAUCAAAUCAAAAUCAAUGAGAAAAGGAAACUUGGUUCUUGUGGCUAAAGUGACCAGGAACUGUGUUCACUUGAAUAUUUCACUUCGCUAAACAAGUUAUGCAAUUUCACCCUAUCAAUGUGGACUAACAACCAGGAGCAUAGCGCCAUUUCUAUUACUUAUUCUCCUUCAUAAGCCAUUGAGAUUUCUCAUAAGAAAUGGGUUCUUUAGUAAGACACCUGUAGGUUUUACGUUUGUGUCCAAAUAGGUUAAUUUAGAUAGCCCAACUGAGCAACUGAGUAGAGUGGGAGUUGAUGGUGCACAUUCUGCUGACUUUGUGACCAGGUUUGUUUCUUGGUUUGGUUUGGCUUCUGCUAUGGGCCCUAAAAGAUUGAAAGUCUCUCAAGUCAUUUCUUUAUGAUGACAUAGGGUUAAAAAAAAAAAAAAGCAAAGCCAGAUAAAUACAAGAGAAUAAAAUCAAGUUGUCAAAAGUUCCACACACAGCUCUGACUUGUUUAGGAACCUAGGCAAAUUGAAAGCAAAAACAAGACAUACAAAUGGAGCCCAUGCUAUGUGACCAUGGGAAGCUCACUAGCUUAAGGCACUACCAUUUUCCUGGGACAGGCCCACAGCAAUUGGCUAUGGAAAUGUGGUUUUUCCAAUUUCCUUCUCUUCCCUUUACUAGAAGAUGAAUUUAGGGUGAUGAGCAGGGAGUAGGGCCUGCCCACAGCCACCUGUUUCCAGGUAUGUUCCAUCAGCAGGCAGAUUUUGAGCAGAGCACCCCUGUAGCUAACAAAGUUUUCUUCUAGUGCCAAUGUGUGGUCAUGUAAUGUCAUGUUAAAGCACCUUUAAUCUUUUUUGUUAUUUUAAAAUAAUAUAUUUGUUAAGUAGAUAAAAGAAACACUGGAAACUUGGGUGCUUCUCCUGGAAAGUUCAAAUGUAAAACACAAACAUGAUCUGGGUUUAUCUGGCUUUGUAAACAAGUCUGAAAAUGAAUGAGAGCUAAAUAUAUAAAGCAGUUAGCUAUCUAUCUUUUGUCAGUUUUUAACUGAGAUCUGUAUUUAACAUUUAUUUAUUAGUUUUUACACUCAGAAGAAAUACACUUUGAAUUUUGGCUAACAUUGUAGGAUGUUUAAUUGCUUUCUCCAUUUUUAAAACAUGAUUUCAUCAUUUUUGUAAACUUAAACCAUCUUUGAAUAGCCUCCUUUUCUUUUCCAAUAGACCAAUUACCACUCAUGAGUCUGCAGAACAUUUUUUCUGUAUUCUUAUAAUAAAUGUAAAAUAUUUGUAGCAAA
rnacentral:lncRNA from 1 species